rnacentral:rRNA from 1 species
AACAUAAACCCCGACGCUGAAUGCGUCAAGGAAUUUAAAAUUUGCUCUAAGCGCAACGACAUAACAUCGGAGACGGUUUUUGUGCCGGUUGUGUUUUGACACGUAAUAUAGAAUGACUCUCGGCAACGGAUAUCUAGGCUCUUGCAUCGAUGAAGAACGUAGCGAAAUGCGAUACUUGGUGUGAAUUGCAGAAUCCCGUGAACCAUCGAGUCUUUGAACGCAAGUUGCGCCCGAUGCCACUAGGUUGAGGGCACGUCUGCUUGGGCGUCACAUAUCGAAGCCUCUUGCCAAUUUCCUAUUUAUAGGUAUUGUGUAGGUUGAAUGUUGGCCUCCCAUGAGCUCCAUCGUCUCAUGGUUGGUUUAAAAUCGAGACCUUGGUAGGGUGUGCCAUGAUAGAUGGUGGUUGUUGUGUUAUGCACGAGACCAAGUCAUGUGCUACUCUAUUGAAUUUAUCCUCUUUUACCCACAUGUGUUUCCAAAUGCUUGUGAUGAGACCUCAAGUCAGGCGGGGCUACCCGCUGAAUUUAAGCAUAUCAAUAAGCGGAGGAAAAGAAACUAACAAGGAUUCC